rnacentral:rRNA from 1 species
AGAGUUUGAUCAUGGCUCAGAUUGAACGCUGGCGGCAGGCCUAACACAUGCAAGUCGAACGGUAACAGGAAGCAGCUUGCUGCUUCGCUGACGAGUGGCGGACGGGUGAGUAAUGUCUGGGAAACUGCCUGAUGGAGGGGGAUAACUACUGGAAACGGUGGCUAAUACCGCAUAACGUCGCAAGACCAAAGAGGGGGACCUUCGGGCCUCUUGCCAUCAGAUGUGCCCAGAUGGGAUUAGCUAGUUGGUGAGGUAACGGCUCACCAAGGCGACGAUCCCUAGCUGGUCUGAGAGGAUGACCAGCCACACUGGAACUGAGACACGGUCCAGACUCCUACGGGAGGCAGCAGUGGGGAAUAUUGCACAAUGGGCGCAAGCCUGAUGCAGCCAUGCCGCGUGUAUGAAGAAGGCCUUCGGGUUGUAAAGUACUUUCAGCGGGGAGGAAGGUGUUGUGGUUAAUAACCGCAGCAAUUGACGUUACCCGCAGAAGAAGCACCGGCUAACUCCGUGCCAGCAGCCGCGGUAAUACGGAGGGUGCAAGCGUUAAUCGGAAUUACUGGGCGUAAAGCGCACGCAGGCGGUCUGUCAAGUCGGAUGUGAAAUCCCCGGGCUCAACCUGGGAACUGCAUUCGAAACUGGCAGGCUUGAGUCUUGUAGAGGGGGGUAGAAUUCCAGGUGUAGCGGUGAAAUGCGUAGAGAUCUGGAGGAAUACCGGUGGCGAAGGCGGCCCCCUGGACAAAGACUGACGCUCAGGUGCGAAAGCGUGGGGAGCAAACAGGAUUAGAUACCCUGGUAGUCCACGCCGUAAACGAUGUCUACUUGGAGGUUGUGCCCUUGAGGCGUGGCUUCCGGAGCUAACGCGUUAAGUAGACCGCCUGGGGAGUACGGCCGCAAGGUUAAAACUCAAAUGAAUUGACGGGGGCCCGCACAAGCGGUGGAGCAUGUGGUUUAAUUCGAUGCAACGCGAAGAACCUUACCUGGUCUUGACAUCCACAGAACUUUCCAGAGAUGGAUUGGUGCCUUCGGGAACUGUGAGACAGGUGCUGCAUGGCUGUCGUCAGCUCGUGUUGUGAAAUGUUGGGU